rnacentral:rRNA from 1 species
AGUAACGCGUAGGCAACCUGCCGCAGAGUGGGGAAUAACUCCGGGAAACCGGGGCUAAUACCGCAUACUUUUCCGAUCCGCAUGGAUCGGAAUGAAAGCCUUCGGGCGCUCUGCGAUGGGCCUGCGUUGGAUUAGCUUGUUGGUAGGGUAACGGCCUACCAAGGCUGCGAUCCAUAGCUGGUCUGAGAGGAUGAUCAGCCACACUGGCACUGAGACACGGGCCAG